AUGGGUCCCUAUGGGUCCCUAUGCGUCUCUAUGGGUGCCUAUGGGUCUGUAUGGGUCUCUAGGAUCCCCAUGUGUCCCUAUGUGUCUUUAUGGGUCUCUAUGGGUCUCUAUGGGUCCCUAUGGGUCCCUAUGGGUCUCUAUGGGUCUCUAUGGGUCCCUAUGGGUCCCCCUGUGUCACUAUGGGUCUCUGGGGUCCCUAUGGGUCUCUAUGGGUCCCCAUGUGUCCCUAUUGGUUCCUAUGUGUCCCUGUGGGUCUCUAUGGGUCCUGCUGUGUCCCUAUGGGUCUCUAUGGGUCCCCCUGUGUCCCUAUGGGUCCCCCCGUGUCCCUAUGGGUCGCUAUGUGUCCCCCUGUGUCCCCCUGUGUCCCUAUGGGUCUCUGGGGUCUCUAUGGGUCGCUGUGGGUCCCCCUGUGUCCCCAUGUGUCCCUAUGGGUCUCUGGGGUCUCUAUGGGUCGCUGUGGGUCCCCAUGUGUCCCUAUGUGUCCCCCUGUGUCCCCCCGUGUCCCUAUGGGUGCCGUGGGUCCCGCAGACGUUCGGGCGCCGCGCUCUGCCCGCCCUGCACUGGCUUUUCCCGCUGGCCGUCACCUUGUCCACCUUCGGCGGCGUCAACGGAUCCCUGUUCACCUGCUCCAGGUCUGCCCCACAGCCGCCCCAUGGCUGCCCCAUGGCUGCCCCAUAGCCGCCCCAUAGCCGCCCCACAGCCGCCCCAUAGCCGCCCCAUAGAGACCCCAUAGCUGCCCCAUAGCUGCCCCAUAGCCGCCCCACAGCCGCCCCAUAGCUGCCCCAUAGCCGCCCCAUAGCCGCCCCAUGGCUGCCCCAUAGAGACCCCAUAGCUGCCCCAUGGCUGCCCCAUAGAGACCCCAUGGCUGCCCCA
rnacentral:lncRNA from 1 species